rnacentral:rRNA from 1 species
CCCUUAGAUGUUCUGGGCUGCACGCGCGCUACACUGAUACUUUCAGCGAGUCCACCACCUUGCCUGAGAGGGUGGGGUAACCUCUGGAAAGUGUAUCGUGAUGGGGAUCGAUUAUUGUAAUUAUUAAUCUUCAACGAGGAAUUCCUAGUAAGCAUGUGUCAUCAGCCCGUGCUGAUUACGUCCCUGCCCUUUGUACACACCGCCCGUCGCUACUACCGAUUGAAUGGUUUAGUGAGAUCUUCGGAUUGGCGCCACUGCGGCUCAGCAAUGGGCUCGGUGGAUGCCGAAAAGUUGAUCAAACUUGAUCAUUUAGAGGAAGUAAAAGUCGUAACA